GUACUCGGUAGAGGUACUCGAGGUUAUACUUAUAAGUACUGGUAUCGGAACAUGACUACCUAUACCAUCGCUAAAAACUAUUGCAACCAACUUUAGCGUGUUCCUGUCUUUUAGCUGAGCGUUUUUCUAAUAAGUGGACGUGUGAGGUCUAUUUGAGGAAAUAUGGGCGCUUAUCGUUACAUGCAGGAACUGUACAGGAAGAAACAGAGUGAUGUUAUGCGCUAUCUGCUUCGGAUCCGAGUGUGGCAAUAUAGACAACUAACGAAAUUGCAUAGGUCGCCAAGACCCACUCGACCUGAUAAAGCUCGCCGUUUGGGAUAUCGUGCUAAGCAGGGAUAUGUAAUAUAUCGAAUCCGUGUUCGUCGAGGAGGCCGCAAACGUCCAGUACCUAAAGGAUGUACAUACGGCAAACCAAAAA